rnacentral:rRNA from 1 species
AAGACAUGAAGUUAGGUCAGCAAACCCGCUGAAUUUAAGCAUAUAAGUAAGCGGAGGAUAAGAAACUAAAUAGGAUUCCCUCAGUAAUGGCGAAUGAACAGGGAUGAGCUCAGCAUGGAAAUUGGGGCCUCUGGCCUUGAAUUGUAGUCUGGAGAUGCAUUGCCAACGGAAGCGCAGAUGUAUAAACUCUUGGAAAGAGCAUCAUGAGU